GCCCUCAUAGCUCAGUAGGUCAGAGCAGCUGUUUUGUAAUCAGCGGGUCCGGGGUUCGAAUCCUCGUGGGGGCU
rnacentral:tRNA from 1 species